rnacentral:rRNA from 1 species
AACAGGAUUAGAUACCCUGGUAGUCCACGCCGUAAACGAUGAGUGCUAAGUGUUAGGGGGUUUCCGCCCCUUAGUGCUGGAGCAAACGCAUUAAGCACUCCGCCUGGGGAGUACGGCCGCAAGGCUGAAACUCAAAGGAAUUGACGGGGACCCGCACAAGCGGUGGAGCAUGUGGUUUAAUUCGAAGCUACGCGAAGAACCUUACCAGGUCUUGACAUCCCAUUGGCCGGUAUAGAGAUAUACCUUUCCCUUCGGGGACAAUGGUGACAGGUGGUGCAUGGUUGUCGUCAGCUCGUGUCGUGAGAUGUUGGGUUAAGUCCCGUAACGAGCGCAACCCUUGAUCUUAGUUGCCAGCAUUAAGUUGGGCACUCUAAGGUGACUGCCGGUGAUAAACCGGAGGAAGGUGGGGAUGACGUCAAAUCGUCAUGCCCCUUAUGACCUGGGCUACACACGUGCUACAAUGGAUGAUACAGAGGGUUGCCAAGCCGCGAGGUGGAGCCAAUCCCAUAAAAUCAUUCCCAGUUCGGAUUGCAGGCUGCAACUCGCCUGCAUGAAGCCGGAAUCGCUAGUAAUCGUGGAUCAGCAUGCCACGGUGAAUACGUUCCCGGGUCUUGUACACACCGCCCGUCACACCACGAGAGUUUGUAACACCCGAAGUCGGUGAGGUAACCCUUAGGGGAGCCAGCCGCCGAAGGUGGGACAGAUGAUUGGGGUGAAGUCGUAACAAGGUAGCCGUAUCGGAAGGUGCGGCUGGAUCACCUCCUU